GGGAAGGGGCGCGCCGGGGAGGCCGGGCCGCUGCCGCUGCAUUCAUUGGUUCCAGCAGCUGUUCGUCGACGCAAGGCCCCGCCCCCGCCUCCCGCGCUGCCCCGCCCCGUCUCGUGCGGAGCACACCGGAAGGAAGAGGGAGUGAAGGACCACGCCCUACAUUGAGUCUGUGAUGAAUCCCUAUCAACACAAGGAAAAGGUUUAUGAAGCCCAUUCCUCACUCCAUUGCUCUCUGGAGACAGGGAAGUUACCCUCCCUCUCCCUACUGCCCAUCCUGGCAACAGUGGGAACUGCCCCUUCCCAUUUGCCACUUUCCUCAUCAGAGCCCGGCCACUGUAGAGCUGACCAGUGUGGCUCUGCAGAGCUUGCUUGCUUUUAACAAUAAACAGUGACACUACCAAGGGGGCACCAGGGGCUCACACAGGGUUAUAGCUCUGUCUCCUUACUCUGCACCGAAUAUCACCCACACCACCGCUUCUUCCAUGUCUCAUGAGCUCGUGAUGGCGCUGAGGGUAAGCUGCGGUUCAGAGUGGCCCUCCCACAUGCUCCUAGCUAGUUGGCAUUCAGGGCUGUGCUGUGGUCCUUGUUCAGGAUGAUGCUGACAAUCUCCCCCUCAUGUUCCUUCAUGUGAUCCAGGAGGCUCUCCUUGCUGGUUGACUCAAAGCCACAGAUGCAGCAGCAGAAGAGCAACACGCAGUACUCAGUGCCUGGAGUAGCCAAGCUGCAGCUCCUUCCUGAGAUGUCAGAGCUGCUGCCUGUGGGGUUCAGUUUCUCAAGUUCGCUGGCGUCGAUACCGUCACCAGGCAGUUGGGAACUGAGCUCCGAGGAGGACACCAAGUUUUCUGGACUGCCUGUGGUAGGGCCAGUUCUCUCUUCACUGCUGGUUAAGAGCGGUUUCCCACGGGAUUUCCCCAGAACUCUUAUAAAAACAGAACAUAUCAGACUUUCAGUGGGUUUUGCUGUAGGGCUAGGAGACGCUCCCUACCUUGCUCUAUACCAAGCCAUCAAGUGAAGGGUGGAAUGACGUACCUGCCACUUUGUGAGAUUGCAUCGUUGAUGGCCUUGUUAACUUGCUCAUAGUUGUAGUUCUGGUCACUUGCAUGUUUCCACAUGUGUGACUUCAAGGAAGGGGGGUGGCUGCACACAUACCCACACAAGGAGCACCUGGAAGAUAGGCACCAAGGAAAUUACAACCAUCUCCCAACACUAGUAAAAAUUCAGAGUGGUUUUAUGCAAGAGCCAUAAACUUUGCUGGGUAAGUGCCUCUCUGAGACAAAUGGAGACAACCACAGAAGACCCGAACUGGACACAUCCACACCCUAGCUCCUGCACCUAUGGCUCAGGGAAUGUCACAGGAGAGGAAGGAAAUGCUAAGAGCCAGAAGAUCAGGAAGGCUUGGGAAACGGCCUCUCCUAGACAGAGCUCCAGGCAGCUGAUGACCGCUGAGAAGGGGGAGACUUCAGUGAGGAAGGAGUCUCCGUUCACUAGCUGUCCACUGUAGGGUGGUCAGGCCUGUGAGCACGUCCACAUAAACAACGCAACAGGCUCAGCAAGCUGUAUUUUUAGACAUCUGUACACACACACACACACACACACACAUACACACAUGAAUGAUUAUCAAAGAAAAUGGGGCUGCGGACUUGAGUGGAGGAGAACAUGGGAGAGUGAGAGGGAGGACAGAUGGGAGGCACUUAGGGAGGAAAGGGAGGAGGGAAAGUGAUAUAAUGGUGUUUAAACAAAAAACAUAUUAAAAAUAAAUUUUAAAAAUUCCCAGUGAUUCUGUAACCAUAACCCCUAAGCAUUCUGAGUUGGCCUACCAUUCACUGAAUGUAAAUUAUCACUGGUUCUAAGGCACAGAUUUCACAGAGGUUCUAGAAAAAGUGUAAACAAGAAAAGAAAACCAAGGGAAGGAGAUCUUUUAUAAUAUAAAGAUUUUUCUAGUACUCUAACAGCCAUCUUACUUUAGCUAAAAUACAUGAUGUGGAAAGAUUUCUAACAUAGUAAUAUACAAAAGUUUUGUUUUGUAUAUUACUAUGUUAUCACCCCUUCCCCCCCGCCCCCAUCAAGGUUUCUCUGUAUAUUCAUGGAUGUCUCAGAACUCGCUCUGUAGACCAGUCUAGCCUAGAACUUGGGAGAUCUUUUUCUGCUUGCCUUAAUCUGGGAUUAAAGGUAUGUAUCACCAUAGCCUGGCUUGUCCAAAAUUCUUUAACUAUGGGUAUAAUGAUCUAUUCUGUUAACAAGAAAGCAAAAAGCAGAGCUGGGAGCUGGGGAGAUUAAGUUAAGAACACUGGCUGCUCUAGUGGAGGACCCAGGAUAGAUUCCCAGUAUCUACAUGGGAGAUCACAAUCACCUUUAACUCCAGCUUCAGGACACCCAAUGUCCAUUCGGGUAUACCUAGUGACCUUCAUAUGGCACUGCAAACGUGUGGCUCACAAAAAUACAUGCAGGACACUCAUACACAUAAAUUAAAUAAAAACAUACAGAUACAGAGGGGGUAGGGAGGAAGGAGAGAGGGAGGGGGCAUGAGUGAGCGAGCGCUGAGCUGGAGAGAUGGUUCAGCCUUCCACAAAUAAGUCAGCCACCAGGUGGGAUCUGGUCCUCUGAAGGAGCAGCCAGUGCUUUUCACUGUUUUGCCAGCCUUCCAGUCCCAACUUCUGUUUGAAGUAAUCUGAACACCUUGCAUUAGUAUGAUUUGUUACAAUUCUAAACAGUUUAAAGUGGUACUUAGAGCUUGCCUAAUUUCUGCUUAGAAUUAGAAAAAUAUACAGUUUUGUGCAUCCCACUGUAGUAUCAUGUUGAGGAGCACCUCAAAGUCCUCUGUGCUCUGCCUAGUCACCCCUCUCUCCUGCUUCAACUCCUGGCAACCACCAACUCAUCUUGUUUUCUGACACAGGGUCCCUCCCAAGUACAUUUGGCUGGCUGGCCAGCUCUGCCUACAGGAAGCCACCAGUCUCUGCCCUCAGUAUGUAGAUUACAAACACCACCAUGUCCUUUUAGUUUGUUCUUUUUUGAGUUCUGGAGAUGUGACUCAGAUCAUCAUGUCUGCUCAGAAGCACUUUCCUGACUGAGAUACCUAACCAGCUUGCUUCCAGAGUUUGCUAUUAUGGAAAAAAUAACUAUAAACAUGUGGAUACAGGUUUUCUGGGAAUAAAUGUUUUUAUAACAUAGCAAAAUACCUGUCUAUAAUUUCCAGGUUGUAUUGUAUAACUAUGACCUUUUUGGAAGCCAAAAAUGUACCCAAUCACACACCUAACAAAGCAGACCACUCAGCUCUUCUCUAUACUCAUGAGACAGGGCUGGCAAGACCGGCACAGGUCUGAAUUAACUUGUAUCCUAACUGAUCCCAGCUUACCUUUAAGACCGCAGUUUUUAGUUUUGUUGAAUAUAGGCUUUUGUAGUAGGAUCUGAAUUUUUUUGGAUUUCCUCAGUUUCUAUUAUAUCUCCUUUUUCAUUUCUGAUUUUGUUAAUUUGGAUACUGUCUCUUUCCCCUUUGGCUAAGAGGUUUAUCUAUCUUGUUGAUUUUCUCAAAGAACCAGCUCCUUGUUUUAUUGAUUCUUUGUAUAGUUCUUUUUGUUUCUACUUGGUCGGUAUCAACUCUGAGUUUGAUUAUUUUCUGCUGUCUAUUCCUUUUGGGUGUAUUUGCUUCUUUUUGUUCUAGAGCUUUCUGGCGGGCUGACAAGCCGCUAGUGUAUGCUCUCUCCAGUUAUGUUUUGGAGGCACUCAGAGCUACGAGUUUUCUUCUUAGCACUGUUUCGUUGUAUCCCAUUAAGUUUGAGUAUAUUAUGCCUUCAUUUUCAUUAAAUUCUAAAAAGUCUUUAAUUUCUUUAUUUCUUCCUUGACCAAGUUAUUGAGUAGAGCAUUGUUCAGCUUCCAUGUGUAUGUGGGCUUUCUAUCAUUUUUGUUGUUAUUGAAGACCAGCCUUAGUCCAUGGUGAUCUGAUAGGAUGUAUGGGAUUAUUUGUAUCUUCUUGUACCUGUUGAGGUCUAUUUUGUGAUCGAUUAUAUGGUCAAGUUUGGAGAAGGUACCAUAAGAUGCUGAGAGGAAAGUAUUCAUUUUUGUUUUAGAAUGAAACGUUCUAUAGAUAUCUGUAAAUCUAUUUAAUUCAUAACUUGUGUUAGUUUUGCCAGGUCUCUGUUUAGUUUCUGUUUCCAUGAUCUGUCCAUUGGUGAGAAUGGGGUGUUUAAGUCACCCAUUAUCAUUAUGUGAGGUACAAUGUGUAGUUUGAGCUUUAGUAAGGUGCUUUUAUGAUUGUGGGUGCCUUUGCAUUUGGAACAUAGAUUUAGAAUUGAGAGUUCAUCUUGGUGGAUUUUUCUUUGACAAGUAGGAAGUGUUCUGCCUGAUCUAUUUUGAUAACUUUUGGUUGAAAGUCAAUUUUACUUGAUAUUAGAAUGGCUACUCCAGCUUGUUUCUUGGGAACAUUUGCAUGGAAAAUUUUUCCUAGCCUUUUACUCUGAGAAAGUUAUCUGUCUUUGUCACUGAGGUGCGUUUCCUGUAUGCAGCAAAAUGCUGGGUCCUCUUUACGUAUCCAGUCUGUUAGUCUAUGUCUUUUUACUGGGGAAUUGAGUCCACUGAUGUUAAGAGAUAUUAAGGAACAGUGAUUGUGGUUUCCUGUUACUUUUGUUGUUAGAGGUGGAAUUAUGUUUAUGUGACUAUCUUCUCUUGGUUUCUCCAUCUACGGUAAUUGACAGUUUUGCUGGAUAAGCAGCCAGCAUUUGUGUUCUCUUAGGGUCUGUAUGACAUCUGCCCAGUUCUAGCUUUCAUAGUCUCUGUUGAGAAGUCUGGUCUAAUUCUGAUAGCUCUGCCUUUCUAUGUUACUUGACCUUUUUCCCUUACUGCUUUUAAUAUUCUUUGUUUAAUGCAUUCGGUGUUUUGAUUAUUGUGAUGGGAGGGAUUUCUUUUCUGGUCCAAUCUAUUUGGAGUUCUGUAGGCUUCUUGUAAUGCUUAUGGGCAUCCCUUUCUUUAGGUUAGGGAAGUUUUCCUCUAUAUUUUUGUUGAAAAUAUUCACUGACCCCUUAAGUGGGAGUCUUCACUCUUUUCUAUACCUAUUAUCCUUAGAUUUGAUGUUCUCAUUGUGUCCUGGAUUUCCUGAAUGUUUUGGGUUAGGAUCUUUUUGUGUUUUGCAUUUUCUUAGACUGUUGUGUCAAUGUUUUUUAUGGUAUCAUCUGCCGCUGAGAUUCUCUCUUCUAGCUCUUGUAUUCUGUUGGAGAUGUUUGUAUCCAAGAGUCCUGAUCUCUUUCCUAGCAUUUUUAUCUCCAGGGUUGUCUCCCCUUAUGAUUUCUUUAUUGUUUCUAUUUCCAUUUUUAGAUCCUGGAUGGUUUUGUUCAAUUCCUUCACCUAUUUGGUUGUGUUUUACUGUAACUCUUUAAGGGAUUUUUGUGUUUCCUCUUUAAGGUCUUUUACCUACGUUGUCCUGUAUUUCUUUAACAGAGUUAUCUAUGUCCUUCUUGAAGUCCUCUAAUAUCAUCAUGAGAUGUGAUUUUAAAUCAGAAUCUUGCUUUUCCAGUGUGUUGGGGUAUCCAGGACUUGCUGUGGUGGGAGAACUGGGUUCUGAUGAUGCCAAAUGGCUUUGGUUUUUGUUGCUUAGGUUCUUGCACUUGCCUCACCAUCUGGUUAUCUCUUGUGUUAGCUGGUCUUGCUGCCUUUACAGUGGCUUGACCCUUCUGUAAGCCUGUGUGUCAGCAGUCCUGGGAGACCGGUUUUCUCCUGGCUGGAUCUGGGCACAGGGUCUGCUCCAGGCACAGGAAACCAGAAGGAUCCUGCCCCAGACUGCUCCUCGGUUCCCACAUCCUGAGGGCUCUAGGUGGUUCCCCCGGAGCAAAAGUGGUAGCCUUACUUGUGCUCUCAGGUGUAUCAGUACUCUUGGGAGAUCAGCUCUCUCCCUGCAGGAUCUGGGCAGACAAGACAGCAGUUCUUCUUACGUGUCCUAAGGACUAAGAAUGAGGCCAAGGGUCUCUGACCUUGAGAAACACUAGUCCAUUCAUUCAACAGCAAUAGAUAUAUAAAAUAUUCUCCUAACCUGGCAACUCUCUGGCAACACUGAGUUCAACCCCUGGGACCAGCAAAUUUGGAAGGAGAAAGUCAAUUUCACAAAAUACACACUGACACAGAUUCCUGUAUACAUACAUCUCACUCACAUACUCAUGUUAAAUUUAAAAUUGAGGAUGAAUCACUUUCAUGACUUGAUUUUUACAUUUAUUUAUCCAGGGAGAGACAGAUGGGUGGGGAGAGGAGGAAAAAAGAGAGGAGGGAGGAGAAUGGAUAGGAAUAUGCAGGCAGGUAUGUGCAUGCCCUGGCACAGGGGAAAGAGCAGCUUGUGGGAGUCAGUCCUCUCCUUCCACCACGUGGGUGACGGGGAUCAAACUCAGACAUUUAGGCUUUCCCUAUGUUAUGUUUGAUGUUUGAGCUGCCCCUGCUGACAGUACUGCUUUGGGCAUGGGCUUUGAAGACUCCAUCUGGUCCCAGUUUUGGCAAACUAAGCUUUCUGGCUCACUGAGGUACUAGCAAGCCAACCCCUAUCCCUGCCUUUCUGGUCAAAAGCAGCUUCUGUCACCAUGGAGUCUACCAUGCCAUCACCCAGACAGAUCCUCUUCUCUAGGUUGUUCUACCAGGUGUUUCCUCACAGCAACUAGGAAAGUAACCAAUGAAUUCCAUCUCUGCCACAGCACCCUCCUACCCUAUGACCUAACUGUGCUCACCUUCUUAGUCUUAACUGUUCUUUUUCACCAAUGUGUACCUUUCAUGGUCACAUGCUCUGUUAUGUUAAGCCAAACUGUGAAGCACCUGACCCUAUUUCAAUUCAAUCAAACUCCAUCAAGUUUCCAGAGAAGGAAUUCCUAACAGACUAACUGAUCACAUCCUGUCACGACGAGGUCAGCAAUGUCCUACCUCUAUUUAGGACAACAUCCACUGGGAGAAUGGGUGGAAGCACCCAGACAGCAGUGGCCAGGGCAUAUUCACCCUGGCUUCAGCUGUCACCAGGCUGAACUGUUCCUUUAAUGGAGCUGCCUGUUGCUGGUGACAGAGCCAUGGGCACGUCAACUGUGCAUAUCUGUCAAAAUCAUCACUAAGACAUAAGAAGACAAGCCAACAUUCUAAUAGUCAACUGCUGGUUAGUCCUGAUAACCUAUCAAUAAGCCAUGGCUGGCUCAAAGCCCUGGAAUGACAUAACCAACCACUUUCUAUACUGAUCAUAACAGUCCAUCCAUAGUUGCAUAAAACAUCAUUUCUUCCUAAUGAAGAAUGUUGUCAUCAAAAGAAAGCCAAUGCAAAGAGAGAUCUUGGGCUUCUCAUGUCUCGGCUAAAAAAAUAAGUUAGAAUUAUUUUUACAGGCUCUUCACUGUUAAAAUAAACUAGCUGUUUUCCCUCCCAGCCACUUGGUUCCCAUCAGCAAUGACUCUGAGACUAAUUAUUAUUAAAUGUCUAGGCUAUAAGCUUUGGCUCAUUCCCUGACUAGCUCUUAACUUAUUUAAACAUUUAAUCUAUUCUAUGUCUACCACUUGAUUGGCUGCCUCUCCUUCAGUCCCACCUCAUUUCUUCCUUCUUGUAUCCUCAAUGUCUGGUGGAGCUCCUCUACCUGAUGGUUUACAUAAGUCUCCUCUGCUCAUCUCCCAUCUCAUCUCCCUCCCUCCUAUUUCCUGCCUCAGUUCAUUGACCGCUGGCUUUUUUAUUGACAGGUGAUGCUUAGACUCUCUGUACACCUCAUCACUAGUAAGGCAACUUCCAUAACUCCACACAAGGGCAUGUGCUGGUUGAAACCAGUAUUUCCCUGACCUGGGCCCUCCCUUGGUUAGCUGCUCAAGUCUGAGUUAAGUAUACAACUGCUGUGAGAGGGCCAGGUAGGAGAAGACAGGAGAAGCUGAUUGCCUUAUGAUGUAUUAGGGAGGCUUGAGUAUAGAACUUCAAUAGAAAUGUUGCAACUGAGUUCGUGUCACUACAUAUAUUAUUUUCUAUGCAUUUCUUGUUGUUAUUUGAUUGUUUUUGUGCAUGUGUGCACCAGUGCAUAUCUAAUAUCCACAGAAGUCAGAUGAGGGCAUAUAAUCCUCUGGGACUGGACUCGGAAACUGUUAUAAGCUACCACAUUAGUGCUAGAUAGACCUGGGUCUUCUCCAAAAGCAGCUAGUGCUCUUAACUUUUGAGCCAACUCUCCAGCUCUCAUUUUCUAUGCUUUAAGAAAUAAGAAUUGGAAAAAAUGGUGAUUUAAGUUAUACAAUAUGCCUGAGCUGCCUUUAAAAAGUUCCUGCCACUGUGGGAAGAAGUUCCUUCAGCUCUCCCCUUCAAAACCCCCAUUACCCAUACCACUGUUCAAAUCAAAUUAAAGCAGAUAUAAGUCUAACUGUGAUGGUGGGGAUGGAAGGGGGCUUUCAAGUCAAAAAUGACAGCAUGCUGUGCCAUAGUCACAGUCGAAGACAUUUGGAAAAACAACUUCAUCUGCACUAAAUCUGCACAUGUUCUUCCUCCAUUAUCCCCUAAACAACACCCACGGAGCCAGCACUGACACUGUUAGAUGUUACAAUCUAGAGUUGAUUGACACACAAAGGAGCAUGUGCACAGGUUAUGUGGAAACACUGUUAUGGGACAUGAGGGACAAUGAUAUACAAAUGUGGGCACCCGUGGACAUGUUCCUGUUGAAGUUCAGCCAACAAAGUGCCAACUCAGACUGGUGAGGGAGCCUUGGGCAAAUGAAGCCCCAGCUUCUGCUACCCUCCAGCUUCUAACCUUUCCCACAGAAGACCCAGACCUGCCAUGUGGAAUGUGCCCUCUCCUCAUCCCUGACCAAGUCCCUAAGCAGAGACUGCUAUUUCACACUACUGAUGAGGAGCCAUGCUGUCUCAAGGGUGCAGCCCAGGCAGGAAGGCUUACUAAAGCAAGGGUUCAAGCUGUGGCUCAUGUGUGGCUAGGGAUAAGGUCCUUCAUGUAUCCCAGCCUGCCACCUGCCUCUGGCAGCUGCCACUAGGCUGCUGUGAGCACUCAUUUGGAGACCUCAGCACAUGAGUUCUCAAACACACCACUCAUCACUGCCAACACGGGCCACAGUGCCUGACCCUCUUUUAUUCCCAUUGCCAGAAACCUGAAGGCUUUCUUCUUCCUUCCCACUGUUGUUCUUAAGGCUUAUUUAUUUAUUAAUUCUAGUUAUGCCAAAUUUUUACUUCUGUAUCAUUACUUCCUGGAUUCCUGAGAAAAAUCAAAGCCACUUUCAGAGUUAGAUACAAAUGAACAAAUCUGCCCACAGAGAAGUUGAAAUUUCUUCAGGGAAUCAGGUAUCAGGGAAGCCAUUGCACAGGACAGUGUCAGCAGUGCCCAAGCAAGGACUUCCACGCAGAAUAAAGAUGAAGUCCUGCAUAUGACUAAGGACAGGCAAACGCUGAUACACAGCAGCUCUCACAUCAGGGACUAGUGCUCCCAUCCACACAGCAGUAAGGAGAGCAGGAGCUCACAUUACAACUCCUGGAAGCUGCUGACACUUGAGAUGGGCUUAUAUGCACCCCAAACAAGUGAAGGAAUGUUUAAGAUGGAAUGAUUCAUAAUAAGAAAGAAAAUCUGGCAACAAUCCAAAAUCUAUCAAUAAUAGUCUUAGUUAGGGUUUUACUGCUGUGAACAGACACCAUAUCCAAGCCAACUCUAACAUUUAGUCGGGGCUGGCUCACAGGUUCAGAGGUUUAGUCCAUUAUCAUCAUGGCAGGAAGCAUGGCAGCGUCCAGGCAAGCAUGGAGCUGGAGGAGCUGAGAGUUCUACCUGUUGUUCUGAAGGCACCCAAGAUGAGGGUCUUAAACCCACCCACACCCAAAAUGACACACUUCCUCCAAGGCCAAACCUACUCCAUCAAGGUUCCACCUCCUAAUAGUGCCACUCCCUGGGCCAAGCAUAUACAAAUUACCACAAAUAGAAUGAGUAAAUAAUCAUUUUUUGGUAGUUCCAGGGGUCAAACCCAGAGUUUUGUGCACAUAGGCAAGCACCCUACCUCUGACCUACACUCUCCUACGUAUGAUGGUAGACAUAGACAAUGGAGUGUAUUACAGAAACGAAUGUAUUAGCACACAUAGAAUUAAGAAUAAAAAGACACAAAACUCUAUGUACCAUAUGGUUCUAUUUCUAUUAAGUUUGAAACCCACAAAACUUAUUUACGAUUCUACAGUCAAGAUGGUGCUUGUGGAAAAGAGCCGAGGGCACUUGAUGACAGGAAGACCAAGAAGGGUGUGCUGUCAAAAGGUGGACAAAAGGUGGACAAGAAUUUGUGAUUCUUUAUCAAGUGUGAACUUAGGAUCUGUAUCAUUUCUAGGAUGUAUUAUGUUAUGUUCAAUUAAAAAGUUGAUUUAAGACAUUUGGAAGCAAGAGGAGGAAAGAUGGGGAGAGAAGCAGAGGGAAAGAAAGAGUGAGGGAGGAGAGGGAGAUAGAGAUAAGGAAAUUAAGCAAAGGGUCUAGAGAUGGUUCACAGUUAAAAGCACUGGAUGUUCUUCCAUAAGCCUGAGUUUAAUUCUCAGCACCCUGUGGCUGGUCAAACCUUUGAAAUUCUAGGCCCAGGGGAUCGGACUCCCUAUACUGGCCUCCAUGGGCACUGAACAUAUAUGGUACACAGACAUAAAUGUAGGCAAAACAUCCAUGAGAGAGAGAGAGAGAGAGAGAGAGAGAGAGAGAAAGAAACACCUAACAAUCAAACUUAGUGUUUAGAUCUUUUAAGGGUUUUGGUUAGGAGCAAACUAAUGUUUAUGGGGGAAAAAAAUCUGCCUUUUUUUUUUUUUUUUAAGGGUAGCAUACAAUUUAGCAUAUAUAUUUUAGCAGUUCUUUUAUUUUAUUUUAUUUUUUCCAUGUGGAGAGGUUUAAUGAAAGGACUAAACAAGGGAGAGGGAUGAGAGAAAGAAAAUAAGGAGUAGAAGAGGAGAGGAGUAGAGGCUGGCCAUGAGCACGUGGAGAGAAGUGGGAGGGGAAUGGGGAGAGAAGGGACGGGGGAAGAAAGCAAGAGUGAACAAGAGCAAGCAAGCAUAUCUUUUAAAAACUGACAUGUAUUUAUUUUCAAUAAAAGUCACAUAGCAAAGCAGAGCCACUUUAUAAAUGAGCAGAACUGGGCGUAUCAAAAGCUGUCAGCCUUUCCUGAGCAUACACUGUGUUAGGCAGGGCUCAGAAUCCAGCCCAAACCGUGUUAAGUGGGAGGAUUCAGACUGAAGCCCAGGACUAACUGCUGGCACAGGCAGAGCCCACAUAUGACAGGUACCUGCCAGAUCAUGCAGGCAGGCUAAGACAGGCUGGAACCACAGUAGAGAGAGGCCAAAAGCAAGCAGAUGUUGUCAUGGCAGAAAAGCCUUUACACCAGUGGCUGCUCCAACACAUGGAGAACCUCCUGUGCAAAAAGGCAUUCUUGCUCUAUGUGAAUUUAUUACAUUUUUCUUAAGAGAAAAUAAAGUAAUAAUCAGAAAUGUAUACACUGUAGACUUGAGGACAAGUCCAAACACUGUAAUAAAGGGAACUAGAUUGCUUAUGAAAUAAGUCAGAAAGGACUACUGUGAUCCUCACUAGAACCACAUACCUAAAAGUGUGCUUACCAGCUCAGGGAGCCACAGAUUAUACCAAUGGAGAUAAAGUCCUGACACAAUAUUUUGAGUACAUAAACCCAUGGGGCAGGACAGGGCAUGCACUGAAACAAAGAACUGACAGUUCAGAGAACAGUGGCAAGGACAGAAAGCAAGACUAAGGAAACAUAAGAAGGCAUUAGGAUAGCUGUGACUCCCCUUUAAGUCUCUAUUUUAAGCAAGCACAGCAUCCUGAAGAUGCCAACGGCAGUAACUGUGAGCCUAGUCUAUUCAGGAGAAAGCCUCCUCUACAGAGUCAGGCAGAAGAGGCUCAGACUCUGCGUUUUGCACUAUCUGGUCUGUGUAUAUAUAAUGAGACUUAAAUCCAAACAAAACUACUUAUGUUUCAUAUACACCUUAUAUGCAUAGCCAAGGGUGCUUUUGUUUGGUUUUUGAGUUUUCCUGUUUUGGUUGAGACGUGUAGUUAUGAAUAGUCUACUUGUUCCAUCAGGCUAUGACAACUCAGGGGAUUUUAGGUCUUGCCCUGUCCUGCAGAUCAGGACCUAGAACUGGUGUCUGAGACUGACUGUAAGCUUAUCCCUGAGGCCCGUGACAGCAGAGAUGAUGCCUUUUCUGUUAGGAACACAGUCCAAGGACCGAGUAAAGCACCUGCAGCAUGUUUCUCAAUGAACGAACCUAAUUCUGGACCCAGAGAUGUUCCUCCCCAAACUGUGUAUCUGGAAGGCCUCCUAUUACAUUCAAGAAUGAAGGCACUGAGGCUUCAAGGCAAGCUUUCUGCUGAAAGGAGAGCCUGGGCCUGUCUUUACCAGGCUCUUGAAAGUGUUCCUGUGACCACAUGCUCAUCCCAGCUACCAGGCCUCACUUAGAAUGCAUAGCACUGAGACCGUAAGUAAUGAAUGGCCAUCGUGUUCUGGUAAUAAAUCUUCCCUACCUUAAAAAUAGAGACAUAAGGCAAAGCCAAAUGUCUCCCAGAGCUUCGGAACCAGCUGAAAACACACACACACACACACACACACACACACACACACACACACACACACACACACACACCCAGAAACAAAGAGAAAGCAUGCGUGUACAAGCACAUUACAUUUUAGAACCUCAUUAAAAAUUAUUUUUUAAUGUAUAUGGGUGUUUUGUCUUUAGGUAUGUCUGUUCAUCAUGUGCUUGCUGCUCAACCAGGGUUUUAGAAAUCUCAGAACUGGAGUUAUUGAUGGUUCUGAGUGGUCAUGUGGAUGCUGGGAACUGAACUUGAGUCGUCUGGAAGAGCAGCCAGUGUUAAUCACUGAGCCAAUUCCCCAGUCUAAGAACCAAGUUUGUCAGGUUUUCAUUUGAUUUCAGCCUCUUAAGCUGGGUCAUGACCCCAUAUGGGGCUGGAUUACUAAUGUAAAUACUGUGGCAGCAGCAAUGGGUUUCUGAGCACAGGACAAUGAACUAGUCAUUCGAGCCUGUAAGGAACCUGAGCUGUUCUAACAGGCUUCCUCGAGGCCUUAGCUCUCUAUACACAUGCACACCCUGCCCUAGUGAAAUCAGGAAGUGCCAAUGAAUGCAGUUGAUACAUAGACGACAGCCGAGCGAGACCUGAGACUACAUGAUGUUAGGAAUGCGGCGCUUUUUUCUGUACCUGCAAAGCUUUCUGCUCUUAUAGACAUAUACAGUUUUAUUACAGAAACUAAAACUUUAUUUUUCUUUUUGAGAUAUGGCUUCAUGUAGCCCAUGCUGGCUGCAAACCGCACUUCGAGCCAGGGAUUAUGACCUUGACUUCUGACCCGCUGACCUCUAACUUUCAAGUACCACCGCUCUGUCCAUGCCACCACGCCCAGUUUAUACAACAAUAAGGACUGAACAGGACUUCAUACUUGCAAGGGCAGCAAACAACACACUGAGCUACAUCCCCAGUCCCAGUAUAUAAUUAUCAAAUUCUUGUAUUUUUAGACUGAGCUGUGCUAAAUGAACGAUUUUAAAAAUGCUGCUUUAGAAACGGACUUGAGUUACAUAAAAAACAAAAACAAAAAACAAACAAACAAAAAAACGACUUCAAUGAAUUUUGGCUUGGGAUAUAGAAAGAAUUUCCCAAAGUUUCUGCAAUGGUCCAAAUAUACUUGUGCUAUUUAUACUAAGUAUUCAUGUGAAAUAAUGUUCUCAACUUUGAGGAUUAUAGAAUGGAAUGUUGGUCCACUGUGAAAAUGCUGAAGAAGGCCUACCGUCUUCAGUUUCAACUGCUCAACGAAGGUACAAUUCUUUAUGUAAAGUAAAUAAGUACAUCUCAUUAAUACUGCUUCUGUCUUUAAUAAAUGGUAAAAUACUCAAGUACCAAAUGAUGUUUAGUGUAAGUUUCCUUGUGACUAUCAGCAUAUGUUUGAUGUAUGCCUAUUUAUCUGCCUAUGUGGAGCUGUGUAAAAUGUCUCAGAUAAAAAGAGGUCAUGAGUAGAGAAAGGUAAAACCGUGAUGUGGAUUAAUGGAGCAACUUGCAGAGACUCAUGUGCGCCACACCUGAAGUGGUUAAACCAGGGGGAAAACUGUUCUGCUAUGGGGCUUGUGCUCCUAGCCUACGGACAGAGCCUGACAUGUCUUCAUGAUGAGUGGACAGACUCUGAAAAUGCUCACACUGUUAUUGUAAGUAGUGUUUUACCCUUGGGUGGUCAAGUUUAUUAAACAGUAGUCACUGCUUAGCAGCUGGUUGUCUGGCCAAGAAUACACCUUAUUUUCUCUAAAUACAUAUGAGACACAAGUUGCCUUUGUGACAAAACUGUAUCAAACAAUACUGUUCAAACUACAGAAAACACCCUUUUCACAGAAGUAUUUAUGGCCUUCAUGCCUUUGCUGGCAUAUGCAGAAUCCAACCUUUACAUCACGGUAACAAGUUCUGCAGCACCAGUAACUGCUGUGAUAAUCUAUACUCAAGGGAAAGGAGAGCAUAAAACCCGUGGACAGAGAUAUCUUCCAGCAUCUCCACUGUCCCAAAAUGUCUGCUCAACUGAGGCUCAUGCUUAGUGUUUCUCAACAAACUUAAAUGAGAUUUAAAAAACCAGUAUGUGACCAUUUCUAAGUUUUUAACAUGUGUUUCAACUAUACAUUUCAAACUAUUUCUAAAGUAUUCCUUUAUCAUAAAAUAUUUCAAUAUAAGCAUUAGAAUGCUGGAGUCAUUCACACUUACCUGUAUGGCUUAUCUGAGUUAUGGAUUCGUCUGUGGUUCCUGACACCGACAUAUGUUGUACUUGUGUAAUCACACACAUCACACCUAUACUGUUUCUGGGUUGAAGACUUGUUCCCUUCAAGGAAAGAGAUUUAGAGGCACGAUUUGGUAAGACUCACAUGGGCGCAUUCACACCUCAUCAUGUACAAGUAAUUAUGAUACUAAGUGCCAAAGUUUUGAUCAAGGCUCUCUCACAGCAUAAUUAACACAUUUUAAGCAGUUUCCUAGAUUUUCUUGCACUCAGACCAUCAGUAAGCAUGAACUCAACACCGCAUCAUCUGACCUGUAAACAUGGGCAGGUUGGGCUGGUUCUGUGUAACCAUGUUCCAGGUUUUAGGUAGAAUGGACUUGCCCUCAGCUGUUGUGCUGACUGCUAAUUUAGUAGCUAAAUUAACCAAGAUACACUGUGAACUUGAAAGGUGUUAUUUUAAUCAAUAAUGGUCACAGUGUCUUAAACAUUUAUUUGACAACAAGCUAAAAUACUAAAGUAUUAUCAAUUAUUGUUAGAGGCUGGAGAGAUAGCUCAGUAGCCAAAAGCACUGGCCGGUUUUGCAAGAGACCCAGGUUUUGUUCCAAGUACCUACACGGUGGCUCUCACCUGUCUAUGACCUGAGUUCUAGGGAUCCAUGGCUUUUUCUUGCUUCUAUGGGCACUGCACUCAUGUAGUACACAUACAUACAUUCAUAGAGCAAAACAGUGAUCUACACACAAUAAAAAUAAACUGUGGCCAUGAGUCAUACACAGCAAGCUACAAACAAAAACUCCGAGGAUUUUACCACGUAGGUUUGCUUGGUUUACUGGUUAAUGUCAGCCAUUAGUUAAACUAAGGAGAAAGAAAUCGCCAACUCUGAAGAGCUCUACAAUUCAGCAUACUCACACUUAAUGGGGCGAUGGGUUGGUGGGGGAGAGAGAAAGACUGAAUACAUUGCUUCCCUCAUGUGCAGUAAACCGGAGUCCAGUGAUACAGGCCCCACUACUAGCUCAUUCUGCAAAUGAGGGCUCCAUCAUAAGCAGUGACCCUGGACGACAGCCUGUGCUUUGUGUGCGGGUUCCCAGAGCACCCUCACC